rnacentral:lncRNA from 1 species
CUGUUUUCACACUUGCAUUAUCGAAACGCACCAUUCCAUUCCUUUUUCUUAUGAAAUAAUUUUCCAAUCGUUCACUAACAUAAAACGUGUUGAAUUUUUAAUAAAAACAAUAAUUUAAAACUACCACAACUUCAUGAUACACAAUAAUUCUACCACAAGUCCGUUAUUUAUUUAUUUACUUAUAUGCCGCAAUUUUACUCGGAAUCGGUCGCAAGUUAGAAAACGACCACAUACCAUA